rnacentral:rRNA from 1 species
GAUUAACGCUGGCGGCGUGCUUAACACAUGCAAGUCGAACGAUGAACCGGGUGCUUGCACUCGGGGAUUAGUGGCGAACGGGUGAGUAACACGUGAGUAACCUGCCCUUGACUCUGGGAUAACUGCGGGAAACUGUAGCUAAUACCGGAUACGACCCUCGGAGGCAUCUCCUGGGGGUGGAAAGAAUUUCGGGCAAGGAUGGACUCGCGGCCUAUCAGCUAGUGGGUGAGGUAAAGUCUCACCAAGGCGACGACGGGUAGCCGGCCUGAGAGGGUGACCGGCCACCCUGGGACUGAGACACGGCCCAGACUACUACGGGAGGCAGCAGGGGGGAAUAUUGCACAAUGGGCGGAAGCCAGAUGCAGCAACGCCGCGUGAGGGAUGGCGGCCUUCGGGUUGUAAACCUCUUUUAGAAGGGAAGAAGCGAAAGUGACGGUACCUGCAGAAAAAGCACCGGCUAACUACGUGCCAGCCGCCGCCGUAA